rnacentral:lncRNA from 1 species
AUUAUUGUUAUUGACAUUCAAUAGUAUUAGAGACUUUGCAGUUGGUGCCCAAUCAGGAGCCCCAUGGAUAUACUCGAAUGUUACUUCAACUAGUUUUGUUCAUACUCCUAUUUUCAUUAAUAAUCAUUUUUCUCGAAGGAAGCAAUGACGUGGGUGUGUUUGCCAGUCUGAAGAAGCUCUGGAAGAAGCAGUAUGUGAAGAUACUGUCAGGACACCGGAGUAGAUCAAAGAUGAACAGUUGCUGUGAGAGACUAUAUUGCUCUUAGAUGAUGGUCGUGGUGCAGCAGCUACCUAGUGGAAGUAAGGAGAGCCAGGAAUGGUGGAGAGUAGGCCAUGCUGGGUGCCUUUUGAUUCCCAGCAUGGGCCUUUUGGUGGAGGAUGGUGUAAAGAUCCAAAAAUUAAGCUACUUGUACGAUGGACAGCGUUUGAAGUUCCCGGUAUCUACAUCCAUCUAUCCUGCUACGUUGCCAUGUU